UUUUUCAUAAAUCAUAGGCUGUAUUCUUCACUAGCAUGCUUUAUUAGUUGCCUUCACUGCAAGCAAGAUAUUCUUCAUUUUCUUGAGGUGGUUGAGUAGCAAACUUUCGGGGAUUUGUUGAUCUAUCCAGGAAUUUAUUCAUCUUUUGGUAGGCUUUCAAUGCUUAUGAUGGGGAUUAUUUUGUUGAUAACUCUAGUAUAAUACAACUAUAAGGAUAGAGAUAGGGACAAUAUCUUUGUUUUAAGUCCUAUGUGAUCCUACCAUAUGAACAUGCUAAUUAUGUAAUUAUGAUGUGAGAAAUGAUGAUUAUUAUUGUGUA